rnacentral:lncRNA from 1 species
CGCCCACUCAGAGCCCCGCUCCCGGCGGGGAGGGGGCGCCGGAACUCAGUUCUCUCUAGAGCGCCCAGCCUAGCAGCGGCGCUCACGGGCAUGAAGGAGUUAAACGGUUAAUCCGAUCAGGAAGAAGACACCCGACUGGUUGCCCGAGUGUCAGUCAGUCCGUCCAUCAUGGCGGGGGCGGAGUCGGGAGCGGGCCUGUCCUCGCCUCUACCCCUAGCCCGCGGGAGCUUUUGGGGAGUGGUCCUAGUGCCACACGAGCGGUUCCUGGAGCGGGCAGUGGCGGUGUGCCGGGACUCUCCUGUCCGUGGGUCGGAGGAAGGUGACGAUGCGUUCCCCGGGCGGGAUGUGAGCGCACGUGGCCCCUCCGAGGGUUGUCUGUUUUCGAUGUCGGCUUGAAGUGUGUGUGUGCACGUGGUUGGCUGCUACUGUCUGCCUGUUUCUCUGUCUUUCGCUGUGUGUGUAUCUUGUGUAUAUGCGGGUGAAGGAUGUGUGCGCACGUGUGCUGUCUGUUUGGAGAAAGGACGCCUCUGCAGGGUCUUUUCUCGUGGCCCGGGGGCUGCGUAUGUAUUCCCACGAGCAUGGGUGUGUAUUGUGGUCCGUGCGUGCUUGCCGAGUUGUGCACACAAUUCUUCCCCCGUAGUCUGACUGUGGUACCUGAGGGCGUAUAUGGGUGUUUUGUGUUUGUGUGUGGUCGGCCUGGGCCUCUUUGGGAUGUUUCUGGGGUGUGUCCCUUUAGUCCCCGUGUGGUUUCAGGAGGGCACCCUGUGUGGAUACUCCGGCUGCCCACCCACCGCUCGAUGUACCAGUACGGCUGUCUCUUCUAAAGCGGUUCUACUGGAAGUAAACUGAGGCAGAUCCUCAGUAGCCGCGAGGCGCACCCCGUGCCCUUUUCAGGCGAGUAAACAGCUGAGUCUCGUCCCCCCGGCCCCCGCGGGCAGAACCCCCCUUCUGGCACCUAAAUCGGGAGUUGCCGUGACUCACGCUCCCGCCUCCCCCAGCGCCGCGCCGAGCAAGCGAGCACAGAGGGAGCGGGAUCCGAGCGCGCCCCCAUCCCCCCGGGCCCCGACCGAGCCCCAGUGGCUGCUGGGUUGGGGGUGUUCACGCGCCCCCGUGCCCCGCCCCCAAGGCGGAUCCUCGCUCAAACCCGAAAAGGUUUUUUGGGGCUGGUUGCAAGGACCAGACCCUCGCCCCCGGUGCGCCCCUUCUCACGGGCUCCCCAGGGCAGGCAGUGCCGUCUGCCAAUCCCCUCCCCCUCCCCCGAGCUGUUCUUAUUUAAAAAGAAAAGAAAAGAAAAAAAAUCCUUCCCGUUUCCAACCUCCACAGCCACUUUUCUCCCCGCCAGAGGGGGCUCCGGGCGUAGGCGAACGCGGAGCAAGAACCGGCCCCCUAUCAGCAGCCGCGGGGUAUCCCAGAAGCCAGAACUGUGUUCCCCACUUCUUUCAGCAACCUCCCCCCAAGGCUUCUAAGGGAUUUGUAAGGGCUGCGGGUCCUUCUCAGAUAAUUUGAGGGUCCUGAGAUGGGCCAAAUUCUUGGGUGUAGGUGGGGUUUGUGGCCUUUCACCAGAGCGCCUGAUGGAGGAUGGGUAACGCGGGGAGUGGGGGCCAGGUCACAACUGGGGUUUCAGAAGAAAAAGAGGACAGGGCAGUGGGCCAGGGCUGGUAUUUGGAGCUCUGAUGAGCCCUGAGCUGGAUCAAGCUGGACCUGAACCAAAUGGAGGCUAGAGGAAUGGGGGAGGGGAAAUACACCUCCGUUGGCCGCAGGGAAAAUUAGUCACUUCUCCCCCUAUCUGGAAAUAAGCCCUAUCAAGACCUAACCAGGGACCCUGAAGCCCUCCAAUUUAGUAGAUGGGGAGGGGGGUCCUGGGGCUGCAGAGAGCAGAGGCCAGGGGAUGCGGAAGGGGGUAGGGGCAGGCCAGCAGGCAGGCACAGCUCAGCUCUUUGGCUUUCCCACUCAUCCUUGGUCCAAGGGAGUGGAGCUUUGGGGGUGCCCUGGGAGGUUCCAAGACGAAAAAUAGGUAGAAAAUACAGUGUAAAGCUAGAGCUCUCAGAUGUUACUCACAUCUCCACAGAAGAAAGAAAAAAUUCGAGCCCCAGCCUCCUUCUAGAUCCCACUAUCCCCUUUUAAAUUGUGGGAGAUCAGAAUCUUCCCAUUAGGGGAAACAGAGCUAAGUGCCCCACAGACUGGUCACAGACCUGUUCCUCAGCUUGUCUCAGCUCUGCAUUUGGGGGGCAACCUAGGGUACUGAAAAGCUGAAACCCAUUUCCUCUGUCCUGCCUUUUGCUGACUCAGGCAGCUUGGAAAAUGGGAAAAGGGGUUUCCCAGCGACUCUAAAGGGUGCCUGGAGGAGAGCUGUCACAGCCCGACCCACCAGAGUACAGAAGUUUCAGCUAGUUUUGUAAAGCGCAGGGAGCCCAGUUGGCCUUGUUCUUCCACCCCACCUCCCAGUCUGGUCCCGCUCCUGCCUACCUGUUGGCCUCUGCCCCGGUGAUGGAUAUCCGUGGUGGGAUCAGAAGCGGCAGCGUAGUGGGCCGUGAUGGUAGUGGGACCCCAGGGUCGGAGGGCUCCGGUUCGGCCCAGCCCAGCCCAGGACCAGAUGAGAGGCGGCGGCGAGGACGACGCAGGUCAGCCCCUAACAUGUUGGCUCUGCCCGACUCAGGGGUCUCCCGGGGCCUCUGUGGAGGGACACCGGUGGGAUGGGGGUGUGGCCUAGACUGCAAAAACUGAGACCCUCCCUCCAGGAACACUCCCACUAAGCCACCUGAGCGGUAGCUGAUGGAGGUAUAGGGUAUAGCUCCUGUGUCCUCCUCGUGUCUGAGCCUCUCACCCCUUGAGCCACAGUAUCUUCCGGGCCACUUUUGGAUUCCCAGCCCUGGGCUCUGGGCCUCGCAUCUCAACCAUCUUUCUCUCUUGUGAGACUCUGAUAAGACAUCCUUUUAGGGUCUCUUCCCACCCUCCGCGUAUAAGAGGCCCCUUCUUGGCCUAAUGUUCUUGGCCCUCUCAGCUCCUCCAUAUCUGAGACUCUCAAGAUCCCAGCCCUGUGCCCCUCCACCUUCUGGCCCAAAUCCUUCCCCCCAUUUGGGAAGCUCCAAGAAGGUCCUCUACCCGCGUGCUGAAUGUCUCUUAAUCUGGGCAGCAGGAGAAAAGUGGAGUCAAGGGAGUAAACUGAGGCAUAGGGGAUGCGACUCCAGAAGAAGCUCAGGAAACAGCCGUGGUCAACAGAGGCCGCCUCCCUCCCACUCCCCUGUCGCAGCCUAAGCUUCGCCUUCAGCCCAGGCCCCGCUUCUCGCACCUCGUCCCGGGUCCCGGCCACAGACAGGACACUGCGACUCCUCUUCAUCCCUCCAACCUAGCGUGUCGUGGGGGCUUCGGGGGACAUGUGGGCCGAGGUCAUGGCCACCUGCAGGACCAAGGGAAGGAUCCGCCAUUAGCUUCCCGGGGCUCCCCCUGCCGGCCAGGCCAGGAACCCGCCCCUCGCCUAUUGCCUCUCUCGAGGCGUGACGUCAGCAGGCUGCUGACGCACUGCCAUUCAGUGACGUCGCCAACCGGUUGUCAGAAGGACAGCUGACGCACGGCCGGGCUCUGGGCAGCGUCAAUGCGCGGUAUGGCCACUGGGGGGCCUGGAGGCUCGCGGCCCAGCCGCCCCAGCCCCCACCCUUCUUCCCGCGGGGGCUUCCCCGCCCGGGGAUCCCACAGAGAAGUCUG